CCAGCACUCUGAUCACUGGUACCUAUUAGAGUGGGGAAUGGAAUCAGGUUGGGUGGCUGGGGAAGCUAAGUAAUUAAUUAGCUUGCUAGCUAGACAUUGAUAAAAAUACUGUAAGGAAGUGCUAGGGAGGAAGAGAAACAGGGCUAGCAGAGCCCAGACUGAUGGACGUCUCAAGGAAGGGAAAUUUCUGAUCCUCUCAGGACCUUGGGAAAGGGCUAAAGGUAAUAAAAUGCGAUUGACUUUGAUGAGAAAUACAAAAACACAACGUCAACAGUGCAUGUGGCCGGGGUCACCCUGACUAAGACUGCUGUCAGGCACAGAGAGGUAAGGGAGCCUGGACAGAGCUAACAGAGGGAAAGAGAGCACCACUGAUCCCUCCCUAAAAGAGGAGCUGAGACUGCUGAACAGUGGACAGUGCAGACUGAUGGCAGUUUAGGGUACAGAGCAGCUACUCUAAAGAAGCACAUGAAAUGGAGUAGUGGUGGUGGCAGGAACAGCAGCAGUUUGUCUGAGGUGAUGGACGGAACUGAGUGGUGGAAGCAACAGCUUCAAGGUGAUAGAUGGCUCAGAAUGGCAGCAAUACCUUCAAUGGCAUGAACAGCAGAGAGCAGUGGCACAGCUAGGCAGCUUGGGCUGAAGCCACAGAUAGAGCAGCAGCCUACCCAAGAGACUCUGUGUAGGCCUCCCUGCCCAGCAGUUAAAGCUGAAAUCAGUCCAGUUGGGUUAGAUAAUGGAGUCCAGACUUCUCUGACCUACUAGAAUCCUUGAACUUCUUCAGCCUAGGACAGCUAACUUGUCUUCUUGAAAGGGACUCUGUACAGAGACUCCAAAUGGCAAGAACAUAAAAUAUAGUCUUCAUACAUAGCAAUAAAAUAAUGAAGGUGAGGAUAGGUGAGGAAUUGGGAGCAAUGCGAACAGAGAAUUUGGGGGUGGAUUGGAUACAGUUAUGAGCUAACAACUUUUAUGCAUGGUCGCUUAGUAAUCUCUACAGCCCAGUGUAUGUGGGGCAAGACUUCACUUCCUAAAGAACAUUCAUCUUACUGGACAAAACAAAGGAUCCAUUCUCCAGAAAACUUUAAUUGUAUUCAAAUUUUAUAUGU